rnacentral:rRNA from 1 species
CUUGUCGGGUAAGUUCCGACCUGCACGAAUCUUGUAACGAUAUGGGCACUGUCUCAACGAGGAGCUCGGUGAAGUUGUAAUGCCGGUGAAAAUGCCGGAUUCCCGCGGAAGGACGGAUAGACCCCAUGAACCUUUACUGUAAUCUGACACUGGUACUCGAUCCGCCGUGUGUAGCAUAGCCGGGAGCCUUGGAAGGCGCAUCGUCAGGUGCGCCGGAGGCAUCAGUGAAAUACCGGUCUCUGCGCGUUGGGCAUCUAACCCCGACCCGUUUCCGGGCGUGGGACACUGUCAGAGGGUCAGUUUGACUGGGGCGGUUUCCUCCCAAACAGUAACGGAGGAGUUCGAAGGUCACCUCAGCACGGACAGCAACCGUGCGUCGAGCGCAAGGGUAGAAGGUGGCUUAACUGCGAGAGGGACACCUCGAGCAGAUGCGAAAGCAGGACCUAGUGAUCCGGCGGUAACUCGUGGCAGUGCCGUCGCUCAACGGACAAAAGGUACUCUGGGGAUAACAGGCUGAUCGCUGUCGAGAGUUCAUAUCGACGCAGCGGUUUGGCACCUCGAUGUCGGCUCAUCGCAUCCUGGGGCUGGAGAAGGUCCCAAGGGUUUGGCUGUUCGCCAAUUAAAGCGGUACGCGAGCUGGGUUCAGAACGUCGCGAGACAGUUCGGUCCAUAUCCUCCGCGGGCGCAGGAGAUUUGAUGGGAAGAUUCCCUAGUACGAGAGGACCGGGAAUCACGCACCAAUGGUGUUGCGGUUGUCACGCCAGUGGCACACGCCGCGUAGCUAUGUGCGGAACGGAUAAGCGCUGAAAGCAUCUAAGCGCCAAGCCUCCCCAAAGACAAGAUCUCCCCUGCCGCAAGGCAGAGAAGGCGGGUGGAAGACCACCACCUCGAUAGGUCGGCGGUGCACGCGCGGCGACGCGCUCAGCCAACCGAUACUAAUCGCCCACAGGCUUGCCGUU